CUGAAGAGCCGACCAGAUGGCGGAAGUGGAGCAGAAGAAGCAGCGGACCUUCCGCAAGUUCACCUGCCGCGGCGUGGACCUCGACCAGCUGCUGGACAUGUCCUAUGAGCAGCUGAUGCAGCUGUACAGCUCGCGGCAGCGGCAGCAGCUGAACCGCGGCCUCCGGAGGAAGCAGCACUCGCUGCUGAAGCGGCUGCGCAAGGCCAAGAAGGAGGCGCUGCCCAUGGAGAAGCCCGAGGUGGUGAAGACGCACCUGCGCGACAUGAUCAUCCUGCCCGAGCUGGUGGGCAGCGUGGUGGGCGUCUACGAUGGCAAGACUUUCACCCAGGUGGAAAUCAAGCCUGAGAUGAUCGGCCACUACCUGGGCAGGUUCUCCAUCACCUACAAGCCUGUGAAGCACGGCCGGCCCGGCACGGGGCCACCCACUCCUCCCGCUUCAUCCCCCUCAAGUAGCCUGCUGGCCAAUAAAGGUAGAGACUUGUCUAAAUAAAUAAA